rnacentral:rRNA from 1 species
UGUCCUACGGGGGGCAGCAGUGGGGGAUAUUGCACAAUGGGGGAAACCCUGAUGCAGCGACGCCGCGUGAGUGAAGAAGUAUUUCGGUAUGUAAAGCUCUAUCGGCAGGGAAGAAAAAAAUGACAGUACCUGACUAAGAAGCCCCGGCUAACUACGUGCCAGCAGCCGCGGUAAUACGUAGGGGGCAAGCGUUAUCCGGAUUUACUGGGUGUAAAGGGAGCGUAGGCGGCCAUGCAAGUCAGAAGUGAAAACCCGGGGCUCACCCCUGGGAGUGCUUUU